rnacentral:hammerhead_ribozyme from 1 species
AUCCAACUAAGGAGUCCCAAAUAGGACGAAAUGCGCGUCUUGGAU